UCAACGAAGCAAUCGACCCUUCUGGAAAAAAGUGGAAUCGAAGUGGCAGCGGCAGCGGCUGCCGCUCUGCACGCCACCGGCGCCCUCCGCUCCCGACUCCUCUCUGCCACGGCAGCCUCGCCGCACACCGCCACACCCACACCCACCUCCACCUUCCUUCCUCCCCCUACCCCGUCUUCUACGACGCCGACAUCGUCAAGUACACCGCCGGCGCCAUCCGUCCGCCAAGUCUGCAACGCAUCUGCUGCCUACACCUCCGAUGCAGCAGACUCGAUGCCCAGCACAUCUCCCUUCUCACCGCCGUCUCCUCCUCCCCCCCCCCCCCCCCCCCCCCUUCUCAUUCGACACCGACGUCGGCAAGUACGCCGUCGGCGCCGUCCGUCCCCGGAGUCUGCGAGGACUCUCCUGCUUCCCCAUCCGAGGCUCAGAUGCAGCAGUCCCGCCGCCCACCACCUCCCCUCUCCUCGCCGACCUCCACGUACGCUGCUACGCACUACGCAUCCUCGGCGACAGCGCCGCCACCUACUACUCCCUCCCGGCAGACGCGCUCCACGGCCAUCCCCUUCGAGUAUGCGCUGCUCCCCUAGGACCUCUAUGCCGUCUGCAAUUGGUCUCUCCUCCCACAUGAGUCCUCUGUUUCAUUACUUGCGCACCUGCUGCUAUCACCAUCCCGAUUGGAAGCCCUCAGCCUGGCAAGAGAUUUUUGUGAAUUGAAGUACUCGACCAUGUUUGGGGUCAAAUAGCAGUAUCCAAUCUACUACAUGGUGUAUCAAUAUCAGGAUGUGCUUCAAGGAGGCCCGGGGUACUCCAUGCAGCCCCUGAAACCCCAAUUGAAUUGGAUGUUCAUGGAGUUGGUAUGGUCUAAUUGGCAAAACAUUGCUGCCAGGUAUUUCAUCUGGUGUGCUUUUGGUGUUUUUUGGAGCAGAAAACGAGAUGCAAGUUUGAUUCAGAAUCACAUGCUCUGUUUCUUCACAUUUCCCUACAUAUGUAGUACUGCACUGCCAUGUUUCUCUCAUUGCAUAGGGUGCAGUUAGGCAGGUACUGAUUAUAAAAAAAAUCAUUGGUACGUAUCCAUGCAGUUUGUUUAAUUUGGCCAAGACACUCACAAGUUUUUGAGCAUAUUCUUCAUAGAGCCAUGCCCAUAGUUUUGAUGAAUAUUACAAGCUACAAAUUUAGGUCUAUUUCCAACAUAAAAUGUGACAUCAUGUUUUAUCUGCUCAAAUUAUGUUUCGAUUAUGCAUGAAUCUAUGUUGAUAAUUAACCUAUGAUGCCUACUUUCAGUUACCAAUUAAACAUAUUGGGUUACGUUUGCUCCUUUUAAGUAAGCAGGAAAUGUAAGAGAGAUCAGACUAAAAAAUUCAUGCUUCCUCUUGCUAUUAUAUAUCUUUGUAAACACUAUUAUGCUUGCUGCUCUGCCAUGAGCAGUUAUAGUUUCUGAUUGCUCCUUUGGUGACACAAUAGCCUUAAUUCAUUGCUUGGCACUCUCAUGCUAGAUUACAUGCAGGCAUGUGCGCCGUCAGGAAACUGUGCGGACAGUGGGUCAACAUGUCCAUGGUCAUUACCUAGCUCGUGCUGCACCGAUGCUGCUGGUCGUUGUUGUUGAUGACCUCCAGCAUAGUUAUGUUCAUGUUACAUGAGAAGGUUGAGUUCUGCAAGAGAGACUGGACAUGUGCAGACUACUUGGUUAGUGCAGGUCAACUGGGACUCAUGGGACUUCCAGCGUGGAUGGAACGAGACACUCAUGUCCCCGCCUUUCCAAAUGGCGACAUAAGUACCCCAGAAUGCGCUUGCCUUAAAGAGAUAACUUUUUCAUGACAAAUUUCCAUUACUUCAACACGCUCCUUCUAUCUCCUUGAUGAUGUUAAUAUUCCUAAACUCAUAUGUACUUAACACUUCUCUCUAUCACACAUGAGCAAUUAAUUUUUCUCUAAUGUUUCCAUUUGCAUAACAGAGUAGUACCUUUGUUCCAUUACUCAUGUUGAUAUAUUUGUGCUCUCCAAGAUUUCAGUUCACAUAUCAAUUUUAAUCUUUGCAUGUAAAUUUUGAUAAUGUGUAAGGUUUAUAUGCUUUUAUCCCAUUGAAAACUUGCUUUAAUUCCUCGGAUGAUAAUCCUGCUGUUAAACCCAUGUCGUGUUUACUAAAUAAUUUGCCUCCUACAGUGUGCUUCUGUCAUAAUGCCUGAUUUGCUUAUACGGACAAUAAUGACUAGAUCUAUGAACCCAUAUAUCAGUCGCUUAGAUAGCUUCAUUUUUUUUCCUAAUCUAGAUUUGGAAAGAAUUAGUAACGGGUAACAUCAUUGCUGAACUACAGUAUGGAUGUACUGUUGAUAUUGCACCUUGCAACCACAUACAUGGUUGUCUUCUCGGGCUUUCGAGGCACGCACACGUAUUUAUGGUUCUGGUUCAAGUUUAGUUUAAUAAUCUACACUUGCAAUUAAUAUUGUCUUUCAAGUAAAUUCAACAUCGUGUUAUCCCAUAUGAACAUGAUAUAACCCUAUUGCAUAUGAAGCUUUCAACAAUUCACGGCAAUUCCUCAUGGUUCUUUUUUCGUGUGCAGGCCCUAAGAUACAUGUGUUGUCGAACAUGAGACUCCCUAAGGUGUGGAGCUAGAAGAGGUGGCGUUUCCAAAGGCAGUGCCAGCUAAUGCAUGGAUGGCCAACGAAGCUAAUGCAUGGAUGGCCAACGAAGCUAAUGCAUGGAUUUUUUUUCCUCACAAAAGUAAAGAUGUCAAGGCACAACUUGCUGGCGGAACCAAGCAUGUUGACCAUUGCAAUUUGAAGGCAUAUAUUGCCGAACAUGGGAUGAUUUGUGUAGUUUUGUAGCAAUACAAAUGCGCUUUGGGAUGUAAAUUUUGCAGCAAUACGCUUUGGGAUUAAAUGGAUGGGUGAAUGAAGAGAGGGAAAAAAAGUAUGUCCUAAGUAGAAUGAUUAUCUAGAGAAA